GAUGAACGCUGGCGGCGUGCCUAAUACAUGCAAGUCGAGCGAACAGACGAGGAGCUUGCUCCUCUGACGUUAGCGGCGGACGGGUGAGUAACACGUGGAUAACCUACCUAUAAGACUGGGAUAACUUCGGGAAACCGGAGCUAAUACUGGAUAAUAUAUUGAACCGCAUGGUUCAAUAGUGAAAGACGGUUUUGCUGUCACUUAUAGAUGGAUCCGCGCCGCAUUAGCUAGUUGGUAAGGUAACGGCUUACCAAGGCAACGAUGCGUAGCCGACCUGAGAGGGUGAUCGGCCACACUGGAACUGAGACACGGUCCAGACUCCUACGGGAGGCAGCAGUAGGGAAUCUUCCGCAAUGGGCGAAAGCCUGACGGAGCAACGCCGCGUGAGUGAUGAAGGUCUUCGGAUCGUAAAACUCUGUUAUUAGGGAAGAACAAAUGUGUAAGUAACUAUGCACGUCUUGACGGUACCUACUCAGAAAGCCACGGCUAACUACGUG
rnacentral:rRNA from 1 species